UGUUCUGUGGUUUAGUUGGUUAAAGCGCCGUUCUAGCAAAUACGGAGCCGUGGGUUCGAAUCCACCAGAACGC
rnacentral:tRNA from 1 species